rnacentral:rRNA from 1 species
AGAGUUUGAUCAUGGCUCAGAACGAACGUUAGCGGCGCGCCUAACACAUGCAAGUCGAGCGAGAAAGGGCUUCGGCCCCGGUAAAGCGGCGCACGGGUGAGUAACACGUGGGUAAUCUGCCCUCGAGUCGGGGAUAACAUUCCGAAAGGAGUGCUAAUACCGGAUAAGACUACGACCUCGAAAGAGGAUGAAGUCAAAGCUGGCCUCUAUAUAUAAGCUAGCGCUUGAGGAUGAGCCCGCGGCGCAUCAGGUAGUUGGUGAGGUAACGGCUCACCAAGCCAAAGACGCGUAGCUGGUCUGAGAGGAUGAUCAGCCACACUGGAACUGAGACACGGUCCAGACUCCUACGGGAGGCAGCAGUGGGGAAUCUUGCGCAAUGGGCGAAAGCCUGACGCAGCGACGCCGCGUGAGUGAUGAAGGCCUUCGGGUUGUAAAGCUCUGUGGGGAGAGACGAAUAAGUCGUAGCUAAUACCUCCGAUGAUGACGGUAUCUCCUUAGCAAGCACCGGCUAACUCUGUGCCAGCAGCCGCGGUAAGACAGAGGGUGCAAACGUUGUUCGGAAUUACUGGGCGUAAAGCGAGUGUAGGCGGUCUUGUAAGUCGGAUGUGAAAGCCCCGGGCUCAACCCGGGAAGUGCACUCGAUACUGCGAGGCUAGAGUACUGGAGAGGUUGGUGGAAUUCUCGGUGUAGAGGUGAAAUUCGUAGAUAUCGAGAGGAACACCGGUGGCGAAGGCGGCCAACUGGACAGAUACUGACGCUGAGACUCGAAAGCGUGGGGAGCAAACAGGAUUAGAUACCCUAGUAGUCC